AUUGCAGGACACAUUGAUCAUCGACACUUCGAACGCACUUGCGGCCCCGGGUUCCUCCCGGGGCUACGCCUGUCUGAGCGUCGCUUGACGAUCAAUCGCCCCCCGGGGUGCGCCUCCUCCUCUGGCCUCCCCGGGGCGCGCGGCUGGGGGUUCCCCUCGCAGGGCCCCGCCGGGCCCUACGUCCCCCCAAGUGCAGACCCGGUGGCGCCCGCCCUCCUCUACGGCCCCAGCCCCCGCGCCUUCGCCCCGCAUCCCCACGGUCGCGUGUUGGGUGUGGGGGAAGGGGGCGCGGCCGGCUCAGCUAGGGGACGGGAGGGGCGCCGCCGCCCGCGAGAGGGAAAAAAGGAGGGAGGGAGCCGGCUCGGGCCGAGGCCCGGUGGCCGCCGCCGCCGCCGUCGUGGCCCCGGGUCCCCAGCUCGGGAGCUCUCCCUCGCGCCGCACGCGGUCCAGAGGUCUGGGGUGCGUUCGUCCGCCCGGGCCGGGUGGAAGGUCCCCGCGCCGUCGUCGCCCGUCGGUGGCGAGGGUUGUGGGUUGUGGGUUGUGGGUUGGGGGGGGAGGUGGUGUCCGGAAGGAGGGCGGGGGCGUGGAAGCGGGGAGCGCGUUCCGGUCGCCGGGGUUCGCCGUCCGCCCCCGGUGGCGGCCCGGCGUCCGGUCGACCGCCGCUCCCCGUGGAGCCCUCCCGUCCGCCCCCCCACUGCCGGGCACGCUCCUCUCCUGUCCGCCCCGCCCCGCCCCACGCCGUCCGGCCCGCCGCGCGCGUGUCUGGGGCCGGAAGCCCGCCCGGCCGCGCCCGUGGCCGCGCUCCCGGGGUUGCGUGCCCCGGGCGGUGACCCGCGGGACGCCGCGGCGUCGUCCGCCCGUCGCGCGCCUGCCUCCGGUUCGCGGCCGCGCGGUGCCGUGCCGGGGCCCCGCCCUGGGCUUCCGCGUCGGGGCGGGGUGGUGCCGCCGUCGCCGCUGCCGCCGCCGCGUCCGCGUCCGCGUGUCGCGGGGCGUGCGUGCGUGCGUGCGUGCGGCGUCCGCCCGUCCCCGUCCCCGGCUCGUGCUCCUCCCUCCGGUCGUCCCGCUCCUCCGGCGGGGCGGCCGGGGCGCCGUCGGCCGCGGCUCCCUCUCUCCUCUCCCCUCGCCGGGCCCGACUCCUCCUCCUCUCCGAGACGCGACCUCAGAUCAGACGUGGCGACCCGCUGA
rnacentral:lncRNA from 1 species